AGAGUUUGAUCCUGGCUCAGGACUAACGCUGGCGGCGUGCUUAACACAUGCAAGUAGAACGGUCCAGCACAUAAAGCAAUUUAUGUGCUGGAUAGUUGCGGACGGGUGAGUAACGCGUGAGCAAUCUGCCUUUGUGAGGGGGACAACACCGGGAAACCGGUGCUAAUACCGCAUGAGACCACGACUCUGAGUGGAGUUGAGGUAAAAGAUUUAUCGCACAAAGAUGAGCUCGCGUCCCAUUAGAUAGUUGGCGGGGUAACGGCCCACCAAGUCGACGAUGGGUAGCCGACCUGAGAGGGUGAUCGGCCACACUGGAACUGAGACACGGUCCAGACUCCUACGGGAGGCAGCAGUGGGGAAUAUUGGGCAAUGGGCGCAAGCCUGACCCAGCAACGCCGCGUGAGGGAAGAAGGUCUUCGGAUUGUAAACCUCUGUCCUUGGGGACGAAAAAAAUGACGGUACCCAAGGAGGAAGCUCCGGCUAACUACGUGCCAGCAGCCGCGGUAAUACGUAGGGAGCGAGCGUUGUCCGGAAUUACUGGGCGUAAAGGGUGCGUAGGCGGCGAUGCAAGUCAGAUGUGAAAUCCCCGGGCUUAACUCGGGGGGUGCAUUUGAAACUGCAUGGCUUGAGUGCAGGAGAGGAAAGCGGAAUUCCUAGUGUAGCGGUGAAAUGCGUAGAUAUUAGGAAGAACACCAGUGGCGAAGGCGGCUUUCUGGACUGUAACUGACGCUGAGGCACGAAAGCGUGGGGAGCAAACAGGAUUAGAUACCCUGGUAGUCCACGCUGUAAACGAUGGAUACUAGGUGUGGAGGACAUACAACCUCUGUGCCGAAGCAAACGCAUUAAGUAUCCCGCCUGGGGAGUACGGUCGCAAGACUGAAACUCAAAGGAAUUGACGGGGACCCGCACAAGCAGCGGAGCAUGUGGUUUAAUUCGAAGCAACGCGAAGAACCUUACCAAGGCUUGACAUCCUCUGACCGCCAUAGAGAUAUGGCUUCCCUUCGGGGCAGAGAGACAGGUGGUGCAUGGUUGUCGUCAGCUCGUGUCGUGAGAUGUUGGGUUAAGUCCCAUAACGAGCGCAACCCUUAUCAUUAGUUGCCAGCACUUUAAGGUGGGAACUCUAAUGAGACUGCCGGGGAUAACUCGGAGGAAGGUGGGGACGACGUCAAAUCAUCAUGCCCCUUAUGUCUUGGGCUACACACGUGCUACAAUGGCCGGUACAAAGAGCUGCGAAGCCGCAAGGCGGAGCGAAUCUCAUAAAACCGGUCCCAGUUCGGAUCGUGGGCUGCAACCCGCCCACGUGAAGCCGGAGUUGCUAGUAAUCGCGAAUCAGCAUGUCGCGGUGAAUGCGUUCCCGGGUCUUGUACACACCGCCCGUCACACCACGGAAGUUGGGAGCGCCCGAAGCCAGUGAGCUAACCCAGCACAUAACUUUUUCGGCAAUAUGAAAAAUGAUUGCCAAAUGAGGAGAAAGUUAUGUGCUGGGGGGCAGCUGUCGAAGGCGAGAUCAAUGACUGGGGUGAAGUCGUAACAAGGUAACCA
rnacentral:rRNA from 1 species